UGCCGACACAAGCAAGAAAACACUCAAACAUAAACAGUCAACAAGAAAACAGUCAACAAGAAAACAGUCAACACCAAACUGGUCAACAUGAAAACGGUCAACACCAAAACAGUCAACAAGAAAACAGUCAGCAAGAAAACAGUCAACAAAAAACAGUCAACAAGAAAACAGUCAACAAAAAACAGUCAACAAGAAAACAGUCAAUAAGAAAACAGUCAACAAGAAAACAGUCAGCAAGAAAACAGUCAGCCAGAAAACAGUCAGCAAGAAAACAGUCAACAAAAAACAGUCAGCAAGAAAACAGUCAGCAAGAAAACAGUCAGCAAGAAAACAGUCAAAAAAGAAAACAGUCAACAAGAAAACAGUCAGCAAGAAAACAGUCAGCAAAUAAACAGUCAGCCAGAAAACAGUCAACCAUAAACAGUCAACAAAAAACAGUCAGCAAGAAAACAGUCAACCAUAAACAGUCAACACCAAACCGGUCAAAAAGAAAACAGUCAACAAGAUAACAGUCAACCACAGUCAACACCAAAACAGUCAGCAAGAAAAUGCUGCUCCCCCGUGUCGUUCAGGAGCCCAAACAAAGUUAGCGUGCUACAAUAUCGGACAGUAGAAACCAACCAGAAAGUUCGGAAAAUUGUCUGAAUCCUCCUUUGGCCACGACUGCCGACACAAGCGAGAAAACAAAGUAAAUACCGGAGACUCUGGAGGAAUAACGGGCGCUUAAAACGGAGGUAGAGCGGACAAGAGCUAAAAAGCCGGGUCAACAUAAACGAUGGGGGACGCUUGGGGAUCUUGGUGACCCUGUAACCUUUCUGCUGGACAGGUAAACCGCUUUAACAAAGUAAGACAAGUGUCUGUAACAGAAGUGUUUCUUGUCAAACGGACCUGCUGUAGCGUGUUGUAGCGCCAUCGCUAAACUGUCCUCCCUCGGGUCCUGGACUAUGUCACUUUAUCCUCGUUGUAGAAGUCCUGCAAACAUUGUGUUUGCUGGUAGUCUGUUG